rnacentral:misc_RNA from 1 species
GAUGAAGAACGUAGCGAAAUGCGAUAAGUAAUGCGAAUUGCAGAAUUCCAGUGAGUCAUCGAAUCUUUGAACGCACAUUGCGCCCUUUGGCAUUCCGAAGGGCAUGCCUGUUCGAGCGUCAUUAUCACCCCUCAAGCCCCCUUGGCUUGGUGUUGGGCGACGUCCCCUUUGGGGACGCGCCUCGAAACGCUCGGCGGCGUGGCACCGGCUUUAAGCGUAGCAGAAUCUUUCGCUUUGGAAGUCGGGGCCCCGUCUGCCGGAAGACCUACUCGCAAGGUUGACCUCGGAUCAGGCAGGGAUACCCGCUGAACUUAAGCAUAUCAAUAAGCGGAGGA